rnacentral:tRNA from 1 species
AGCAGUGCAGCCUAGUAGAAGGAGCAUGUGAGUGGGAAUCAGAGGACCUGGGUUCUAAUCCCAGCUCUGCCA